rnacentral:rRNA from 1 species
GUCUACGGCCAUGCUACCCUGAACAAGCCCAAUCCCAUUUGAUCUCGGAAGCUAAGCAGGGUCUGGCCGUACUUGGAUGGGAAACCACCUAGAAAGACCAGGUGCUGUAGGCA